rnacentral:lncRNA from 1 species
GUUCAUUAAGGAUUCUACUUUAGUAUAUAGUAAUAGAAUUUUUUUUUCUAAAAUAAAAAAUCUAUAUUGGAGCUUGACACGUGGCAAGCAUAUAAAGCGCCACGUGUCAGCUUUUCACAUAUGGUUCAUUAAGGAUUCUACUUUAGUAUAUAGUAAUAGAAUUUUUUUUUCUAAAAUAAAAAAUCUAUAUUGGAGCUUGACACGUGGCAAGCAUAUAAAGCGCCACGUGUCAGCUUUUCACAUAUGGUUCAUUAAGGAUUCUACUUUAGUAUAUAGUAAUAGAAUUUUUUUUUCUAAAAUAAAAAAUCUAUAUUGGAGCUUGACACGUGGCAAGCAUAUAAAGCGCCACGUGUCAGCUUUUCACAUAUGGUUUAUUAAGGGUUCUACUUUAGUAUAUAGUAAUAGACUAGUAUAUAUUUUUCAAUAUUGCAUUUAAGAUUGAUUUCGAUUGGUAACUUGUUGAGCAUGUUAUUAUUGUGUUAAAGUCAAUCUUAACCAAAAAAAAAUGAAUGACUAAGAUUUAAAUUGGACGGUGUAUUAAAGCAUUUCUCAUAAGGAUAUUGGUGCAUAGAUGAGGCGGUGGACCAGGUCCAGGAAAUUAAAUAAAUACACUAAUUGGAACCCAUUGAAGGCCUCCUUAUUUUAGGGGUUGCAGGGCCCACAAUUUCUUUUAGAAUUUUUUGAGAAUUAAUUGUAUAGUGCUCUCCAAACUUACUAUCAUUUUUAUUUUGGUUUUUUUUUUUUUUUUUACAAUUAAGUUUUCAAAUUCCUUAAUUUCAUCGCAAUAAAAUAAUAACCGUUAAAAUAUCUUUUAAAAUUAAUGAAAUUAUCAUGUUAUCGCCUAUCUAACUUUCUUUUGCAUGCCAAUUUUGAUUUCUAAAUUUUGCAUAUUUUUAUUUUAGUCCCCGAAGAAUAUAUGAAUUGGCAAUCCUAAAGAAGGCCCCUCCUUAUUUUGGAGGUUUGUGGGGCACAUACAAUUUUUUUAAGAAUUAAUUUAUAUAAUAAUAUAAUAUUUAGUAGUUGAAUCUUUUUGCAGUGUAAAAAAUAUCUAUUUUGAUUAGUCUUAUUUUUGUGCUUCUGAUAAUUACAUAUUGAUUUCUUUACUAAUUUAAAAUUUAGGAAUCAAAUAAUUUAUUAGUUGUAUGUUAUUUGUAAAUUAACUUGAUGAUAAUAGAAAAAUAUUAUUUAUCUUUUUUAAUACUGUAAUAAGUUUUUGUUUUAUUUUAAACUAAUAUAUUUAUUUUACUUAUUAAGUUUAAAUAAUUUUUUUUAAAAGAUAUACUUUAAUUUUAUUUUUUAUUUUUUAAUUAUUUAAAAAUAAAAUAAAUAAUAUUUAAUAAUAUUAAUAGUUAUAAUAAUUUAUUAUUAUAUUCUCUUGU